UCGCGGCGUCGUUAAGACAUGCAAGUCGGACGAGAUUUUCCGUUGUAGCAAUACGAUGGAAAAUUUACUGGCGAACGGGUGCUUAACACGUGGGCAACCUGCCAGGAAGUGGGGGAUAGCUCGCCGAAAGGCGAAUUAAUACCGCAUGUGAUUAGAGAGGACAUCCUUUCGAAAUUAAAGUCGGCGCAACCUGACGCUUUUUGUGGGGCCCGCGGCCUAUCAGCUAGUUGGCGAGGUAACGGCUCACCAAGGCUUUGACGGGUAGCUGGUCUGAGAGGACGACCAGCCACACUGGGACUGAGACACGGCCCAGACACCUACGGGUGGCAGCAGUCGAGAAUUUUUGACAAUGGGCGAAACCCUGAUCGAGCGACGCCGCGUGGAGGAUGAAGGUCUUCGGAUUGUAAACUCCUGUCAUUGGGGAACAAUGCACAGAUAUUAACUGUAUUUGUGUUGAUAGUCCCCGAACAGGAAGAGACGGCUAACUCUGUGCCAGCAGCCGCGGUAAUACAGAGGUCUCAAGCGUUGUUCGGAUUCAUUGGGCGUAAAGGGUGCGUAGGCGGCGCGGUAAGUCGGGUGCGAAAUCUCCCAGCUUAACUUCGCAACUCCAUUCCAUACUGCCGUGCUUGAGGA
rnacentral:rRNA from 1 species